rnacentral:lncRNA from 10 species
CUCCAACUGUCCCUCAGUUUCUCUACCUGCACUGGGAUGUCCUACAUAAGGAGUCAGCUCAGUGCCCGCAUCUUGCUGUAAUUAUUUUGUCCAAGCACUGUGGGAGGCAGCGUUGAGGAGGCUGUUGUGGGGAGUUUGCCUGUCAGAGAGAAGAGGGAAAUAAACAAGAAACAUACAGACAAAAUAAUUUCAAAUAGCAACAAGUGUUAAUAUCGUAGCAAACACCAAUGCAGCGCUUAUGCCAGGCUCUGCUCUAUGCUAUAUGCACAUUAGGUCAUGUAAUCCUCACUCCCUUGUACAGAUAGGAAAAUGCUGGUUGAAUAAUCUAUUGAAGGGAAAUAGGAAGUUGAACAAUAUGUGGAGAAACAGGUUGCACGAUAGGUGGAGAAACAACAGGUUGCACGAUAUGUGGGGAACCAGGUUGAACAAUAGCCUCAAGUGCGCAGUAGGUAGGCUCGGCACUUGAGAAUAUUGGGCCCAGCCUGGGUUUCGACCCAGCCAGUCCAGCCCCAAGUGGAAGCUUUUGCACACUCCAUUACACCAGUUUUGGCUGUACUAGGAAGGAUGUAAAGUGGUGACACGCCCAAGAGAGAGCUGGGGCUAGACAGGAGCUGCUCCUAAAAGGAUGUCAAUGGACGUCUCUGUGCAAGAGAGUAAGCUGAGGCCUGCACAGUGAGAGGAACUAGCCAUGCAAAGAGCUGGGCGUGUCCAGCAGAGAAAACAGCAAGGGCAAAGGCCUUGAGGUGGGAGAGUAGAUGUGGGGUUUCAUGAACAUAAGGAUGGAACUCAGUGAGCAGUAGUAAGGAGACUGGAGAUGGUCAGCAGCUGGGGGUAGCAGGCUUUGCAGGUCUCGGCAAGGAGCUGGACUUUUAUUCUAGGUGUGAUGGGAAGUUGUGUUGUUAUGGCCACUGAAGGAGUUGCGUGGAUGGAGUUGGACCAGAGGGUGGGUGCCCUUCCUGCCUUGCCAGCCUUAGGUUCAAGGAGGAAGUUGAUUGCUUAGGCCUUAAGCUUGCCCCUCCUCAUCUGACCUCCUGGCUUCUAGGACAUUCCUGAGGACGUACACCAAGUCUCCAACAUUACCUGAUGUCAGAUCAGGUAAGCCCUCAUCUUAUAGAUAGGGCUAAGACUGAGGCCCUGACUUCAGGGAUGUGUCUUCACCUUUGAGUAGGAGAAGCAGGGGUGGUAUCUGCUUCAUCUACUCAUGUACCUGCAGCACCUAGCACAGGCUGACCAGCCCAUCCUUGGACCCAGGCAAGCGGGGCUCUGCCCUGGCCAGCCUCCAGCUGCGUACAUCCCCACAGGCUAGAGAGUCUGCAGUGCCAAGGGGAUAUACCCAUCCAAGUCUUUGCUCCUUGUCUAGAAUACUACAGAUUCCUAGGAUUCCUGAGCUCCCUACCUAAAAGUCCCAAGCCUGCUGCCAGGCCUCUUCCUGGUCUAUUGUCUGGAGGCAGAACACUAAGCCCAGGGUGUAGCCAAGGGGCACUGCAGAGGAUAGGGUGUGGAUGGAGAUUGGACCUGCAGCCUGGGAUGUCUACACACAUGCAGGUGAGGUGUGCACGGUACAGGAUGGAGCUGGGGAUGAGAAGGGAAGGUGGCAGUUUAUAGGCUGGGAAAUGAGCGACCAGGGAAUGGGGCUGGCUCUCCCCAGCACCGCCACAUUUCAGUGCGAGUAUCUAAGAAAUCCAAAUCAAUCCUGGCCUUUCAGGCUGCUGAGAAGUUAUACUUACUGAGGAGAAGGAUAGAACAUUUAAGAGAAGGUAUUGGUCUGAUUUAUAAUUUUUAAAUAUUUAGAUUUAAGGGUGAGUGGACACCAGCCUCCACCAAUAUCAAGAGUGUGUUUGGCCUAGACCCUAGGAGAUAUUCAAUAUUUAUCAAAUAGAUGGAUGAAUCUCAUUUAAUUUAAUCCUCACACAGACUCAACGGAGGGAAAUCACAUCGUCUGUGCUUUAUUGAUGAGGGAACUAAGGCUUGGAGAGAUUUAAUGACUGGCCUAUUUGUCAAGUUAGAAGUUUGUCUAGCAGAGCUGAGAGCCUCAAGCCCUAACGUGUCUGAUUCCAAAAUCCAUUGCAAUUGGUUCAUGACAAGUUCACUCCCAUUAUGACCACAUUAAAUAUAUUAUAACUGUUUGAGCAUGUCACUCGCUGAUCUUUGGGAACAUAAGCACUGUUUAUAUUACAUGAAAAAGGCCUUCUCUUCUUCAUUCUUACUCUACCCUCUCAGGCACCUUUGGGAAGUAGUAAGACAGGAGCUAAUGCUCCAUUUAACAAAUGGAAAACUGAGGACUGAGCAAUAGCCCAAGGUGUCAACGAGGCUUAAACAAAUAGGGAUUUUUUUUUUUUUUUUCAUGUAGCAAGAAAUCCGGAGGUAGCUGGGCAAGGGCUGGUAUAAUUUUUGCAUUAUUUUCAGCAAACAACUUCUGCCUCUUGGUCUCUUCUGGCUAUUUAUUGCUACAGCAUAACAAACUGCCCCCAAACAACAACCAUUGUAUCGUCUACAGUUUUGUGAGUCAGAAAUUUGCGCAGGGCUCAGCUGGGUGAUCCUUCAGUGAUCCAUGGAGCGCCGACUAGAGUCACUCAGUGAUCUUCAGCUGCUGAUUGUGCUAUGCUGGAGGAUCGAGAUGGUUUCACUCAGGUUCCUGGUGCUUUCGUGGGGAUGGCUGGAACACUGAGCUCAGCUGGGUCCGUCUGCCUCUCCAUGGAAUCCCAGGGCUUCUCCAGUAUCCCACUGAGUGAGGAUCACAGACGAGGAAGCAGAAACCCAGAGAGGUUAAAUGACUUGCUCCGGGCCACACAGAGAGUAGGUGCAAGGCUGAGAUUCAAACCCUCGACUGUCAGAUUCCAGAGCUGUGCUGUGAAACCCACACAUGUGAAGCUCAGGGACUGUUUAUGGAUGACAGCCCCGGAGCAUGGGCAAGACUUGUGCCUGGUGUGUGAAGGUUACAGGUGACAAAUGUGAGCCAAGAGCCUGCAGAUGCUCCCUUCCCGCUGUGAUCCUUCAGUAGGGAAGACUGCAUCAAGCCCCAGGGCCAUGCUGGCAUAUUUCAUGAAAUUAAACUGGCAC